GGCUUUGCACAGUGGCAGUAUCGUAACCAAUGAGGUUUAUCCGAAGCAUGACUAUUGCUAGUAGAAACACUACCAAUUUCUGGAUACUAAUUUUGUAUCCUACCACUUUACUCAAUUACUUCUAGUAGU
rnacentral:snRNA from 1 species